AAAUGUAUGACUGAAUGAUAAAGCACACAUACAGUUGUGUAUGAAACACACAUACAAAAAAUGAUUUACUUACUGCCAACAUCCAGUUUGCUGUUGUUGCCGAGAGGGAAUCCCAGAGAAACAAACUAUUAUUGAGUGUUUGAUGAGGGAAAAUUAACUUCUUAACAUUGUGAUAUUUCUCAGUUCUGCUCUUCUGUCAGUGGCUGUGUCACAUUAGAGAGGAAACCGCUUUGAAUGUGUGUGUCCCUCCCCUGUGACUGAAGCUCAAUAUCAGAGCGUCUGUCCGACUGUGAAUCCCACAUCUCUGUCCUUCAGCUUCACUCAUUCCCAGUAAAGAUGACGACACACACACUGAUCAUCUGCUCUCUGCUGCUGCUCCUCAACGAGUGUAGAGGACAGAUCACCAUCACUCAGAGUCCCUCAAUAACAGCAGAACAACCAGGAGGAACUGUGAAUAUCAAAUGUAAAACCAGCAGAGAUGUGUACAAUGGAGAUUUCUUAGCCUGGUACUUACAGAAACCUGGAGAAGCUCCUAAACUCCUGAUUUACAGAACAAACCGCCGUCAGUCAGGAACUCCAUCUAGAUUCAGUGGCAGUGGAUCUAACAGUGAUUUCACUCUGACCAUCAGUGGAGUCCAGACUGAAGAUGCUGGACAUUAUUACUGUCAGAGUUUAUACUACCCUGCGAGCAUUCGGUGGUUCACACAGUGAUAAAGAGUCGUACAAAAACCUCCGUCAGUCAGAGUCACAGUGACUGAACUGAAACUGCAGCUGCUCAAACACACACACACACACACACACACACACACACACACACUCAACAGUGAAGAAACGACUCAAUAUGAUCUUAUUGAACAUCACUUUGUUGAGAUUCAUCAGUUUUUGACCUUUUUGAUUGUGAUUUUUCUGGAAUGACAUUUGUCUCCUGUUUCCUAUUACAUCCUUUAUGUAGAAAUUCAGUCACUUUUGAUUUUCACUUCAGUGGAUAUUUUUCAAUUCAUUCAAAACAUUUUUGAUUUUCUGCAUUUAUAAUUUAAUAUAUUAUUUUUUUAUAAACUGCACCAUCAGCAUCUUAAUAUAU